rnacentral:misc_RNA from 1 species
AACGCACAUUGCGCCCGCCAGCACUCUGGCGGGCAUGCCUGUCCGAGCGUCAUCUCGACCCUCGAGGGCCCCGGCUGACCCCGCGGCCCUCGGUGUUGGGGAUCGCCCCCGUCCACCGGGGCCGGCCCCGAAAUGCAGUGGCGGCCACGCCGCGGCGUCCCCUGCGUAGUAGAAAUCACCUCGCACCGGACCGCGGCGGCGGCCACGCCCGCCGGCGAGGCGCGCGCGCCCCCCCCCCGCACACCCAAAAGGUUGACCUCGGAUCAGGUAGGAGUACCCGCUGAACUUAA